rnacentral:rRNA from 1 species
UGGGGAAUUUUGGACAAUGGGCGCAAGCCUGAUCCAGCCAUGCCGCGUGCGGGAAGAAGGCCUUCGGGUUGUAAACCGCUUUUGUCAGGGAAGAAACGCUCUGGGCUAAUACCCUGGGGUAAUGACGGUACCUGAAGAAUAAGCACCGGCUAACUACGUGCCAGCAGCCGCGGUAAUACGUAGGGUGCGAGCGUUAAUCGGAAUUACUGGGCGUAAAGCGUGCGCAGGCGGCUUUGCAAGACAGAUGUGAAAUCCCCGGGCUCAACCUGGGAACUGCAUUUGUGACUGCAAGGCUAGAGUACGGUAGAGGGGGAUGGAAUUCCGCGUGUAGCAGUGAAAUGCGUAGAUAUGCGGAGGAACACCGAUGGCGAAGGCAAUCCCCUGGACCUGUACUGACGCUCAUGCACGAAAGCGUGGGGAGCAAACAGGAUUAGAUACCCUAGUAGUCCCUGAGCGGGCUGGCAAGGCGCAU